rnacentral:rRNA from 1 species
CCUACGGGGGGCUGCAGUGGGGAAUAUUGCACAAUGGGGGAAACCCUGAUGCAGCGACGCCGCGUGAGUGAAGAAGGAAUUCGUUAUGUAAAGCGCUAUCAGCAGGGAAGAAAAUGACGGUACCUGAGUAAGAAGCCCCGGCUAACUACGUGCCAGCAGCCGCGGUAAUACGUAGGGGGCGAGCGUUAUCCGGAUUUACUGGGUGUAAAGGGAGCGUAGGCGGCAGUGCAAGGCUGGAGUGUAAGGCGGGGGCUCAACCCCCGGGCUGCUCUGGAGACUGGACGGCUGGAGUGCGGGAGAGGUAAGUGGAAUUCCGAGUGUAGCGGUGAAAUGCGUAGAUAUUAGGAGGAACACCAGUGGCGAAGGCGGCUUACUGGACUGUAACUGACGUUGAGGCUCGAAAGCGUGGGGAGCAAACAGGAUUAGAUACCCUGGUAGUC